GCAAUGACCUAGGAUACAGUCAAACCUUGGUUUCUUUUUGAUGUCUUACAGAGCUCUAAUACUCCACAGUGCUCACUUUAGCUGUCUUCAUUGCCAUUGGAACAAGUUGUUCUUGUCUGUCAUUCCAUUUUGGGAAAUCAUCAUAUGCUUGGGGUAGCCAUCUCCCUACUUCACCAACAGGAUUAAAGUCUAUCAACUACUCUCAACCUGCAGAGAAGGUUCUAUGGAGAUCAAUUCUGAAGCAAUUAAAUAAGCAGCCGACAAGGCUUUUUAAGCACCAGAGCAUUUGUCUCAAUAGAAAGCAGAGCAAGACCAAAGAGGAAAUGGAAAAACAACAUGGAUCUGCAGAAAAGCAAGAGACUUGGAAUUUUGGCAACUGCCAGUCAACUGAGAUGGAGUCACAGUUCCAUGGAAUUUUGAAGGAAGCAGUUGGGCAGCUUGAGCUGUUUUGAGACUCACUUCUUUUCUGACAGUUGGGAGAAAGCCAGACUCUCUCUUGUUCAAUGAUUAUCUGACUGAGUACUGAGAAGACUUUUAGAACUUAGCUCAGAAGAAACUCUGCCAUCCAGUUGUUAUCAACAUCUCCCCUUAGAGAAAAAUCACUUUAUUUCCUGAAUUGAGAGCUCCAAUCAACAGGAAAAUAUAGGAAGUUAGAGAAACCCAUUUUCCUCUCUCCCCCCCUCCUUCUCCUUACUUCCUAUAUUUAAAAGAAUAAAAACUUUUUGUUAAAAAUUUGAGGGUGAAAG
rnacentral:lncRNA from 1 species